UGUCAUUGUAGUAAAACGUAACAAUGAAUGGCGAUAGCAUCUAGGAAGGAUCGCUACCCUAACGUGAAGGAAAGGCCUUGCGCGGCUGCUCUACGAAGUGUUGAAGAAAGACUCAAAGUUAGGUGCUGGACGAACAACUCGCUGGUGCCGGAAAACUACUGAAUUGGCCCCCAACGAUGGUGUUUGGUGAAUCAUAAAGCAUAGUGUCUUGUAGCAGUGUUCACCGAGGAAGGAGAACGCUCUAGCCGCUGCUGUUGUCCGUUUCAUCCACGUUGGGCGUUAGCUGCACCGCGCCUAUUGUGUUUUGGUACUCCAUGGACACACAUUAGCAUUCUGAGCGAUUGUGGAGCCACAAUUUACUUCACACAGCGGUGUAUUGUCCACGAGCGCAAACUUCAUUAUCAGCAGUAUUAACUGUUACUCUUCAUCCUACAUGUAGAUUUGGAGUAUACACGGCCUUGUCACGACAGCGACAGCUCUACAGAGUGUUCAAGUGAGAAACAUUAAUUUCCAUUGUGGGUGGACGAACAAAUCGCUGGUUCCGAAAAACGCGGCCUGCACCGAUGAUGAGGACGGAGAAUGCAGUCGCCACCACUGUCGUCCGAUUCAUCCAAGUGGGCUUUAGCAGCGCCGCGCCUAUUGUGUUUUAGUAAUCCAUGGACGCACACUAGCGUUCUCAGUGAUUGUGGAGCCACAACUUCUCUUCAAGCAGCGGUACACUGUCCAAGAGCACAAACGUCAGCAGUGACCAAUCAUCAUACAUGUAGAUUUGGAGUAUACACACCAUGCGCCAAUGGGCCUUGGCACAACAGCGGCAGCUCUACGGAAUAUUCAAGUGAGAAACAUUUGUUUCGACUGUUGGUGGACGAACCAAUCGUCGGUGCCGAAAAACGUGGCCUGCGUCGAUGGUGCUUGAAACGUCAAGCAUGGUAUAUGGUGGCUGCCAGUGUUCAUCGAGGAAGGAGAACACUCAGGCCGUCGUCCGUUCAUCCAUUUCGUUAGCUGCACUAAGUCUAUUGUGUCCUUGUAUUCCAUGGACACACAAUCAUGAAGCAUGGCGUCUGAGCUGUGUUCACAGAGCGAGGAGAUGCUCUCGCCGCUAUCUUAUCUGUCCUGUGUAUUCCCAAGUGUCGAAGGCUCACAACAAUGGUGUUGGACAAGUCAGAUAAAAUGGAGUCAACAUCGUCACCUGACGCUGUGACCAGAUUACGGAUUAUGACGAACGCGGAUUCAACUGGACGAAUCGCAACCUGACGACGAAGAAUCGCGAGGCUUUUCAGAUGCUGGGAUACAAUGGAAACCGAACGACUUCAGAACGGCACUGAAACGUUAUGUUAUCAUGCAAGACGCCUUUCUGCGCCGCACAAACACAGGCGGUACUACAGCAGAAGAUGUCACUCACUAUUCUGCAGGUGCACUGGUGACAGGCGCAUGCAAGUUCACAAGAAGGAGGCGGUCUGAUGGUAACUGGAAUGCCAGCAGUAUGAGAGGAUGUGCAUUCUGCGGUGGAUCUCACCUGGACAAGAGCUGCACGAAAUACACAACAGUAGCACAGCGGAAAGAAUAACUGAUUGAACAGAAGCGUUGCUUUGCGUGUUUGCGCACAAGGCACUGGUCAACUCAGUGCAAGGCCACCCGCAAGUGUAAUGUGUGUUCUCGCAUGGGUCACCAUCAUGUCACGAUCUGCCCUGAAUCUCAACAGAAAUCUGACAGCAGUACCAACAUAGUAGCUGAUCAGCCUGUGGCUGACGAGGUACCAGCAUCUAGCACAACAGCAGCUAGUGCAGCAUCAACCAGUAUCGCCAUCGACCGUAAGAUAGUCAGUUGUCUUGAUCGGUGCAGAUUUCCUCUGGGAGUUUAUGACGGGGAGCACCAGAGGACUUCCAUCAGGACCGUACAGUUUCUGCCUACCACAGUCGGUUUUGUGGCGACUGGCCGAACAUGUCACUCCAAGCACUCAGCUACGCCGAUGAGCAGCCAUGCCAGCUAUCGUUUCUCUACCUGAUGCGACUUCCGACUCCUGCACCAUCCAAGAUCUGUGGGACUUAGACUGCAUUGGCAUCCAGGAUUCAGCCAAUCUUACUAACAACGACCUAGCCAUUAGGCAAUUCAUCUCAACUGUCACUCAACUCGAUCGUUUCCAGUCUCUAUCCAAGCGCCUAGAAGUCGAGCCGGAACUCAAGGUCAAAUGCGACAACGUGAUCCAGCAGCAGCUACGGUAAGGCAUCCGCCGAACAAGUGAGCCCUUCUACACCUGUGGGUGCCAGAGUGCACUAUCUGCCUCAUCAACCAGUCAUAAUACCACAGAAGACUAUCACAAAAGUCAAGAUGACAAACAACUAGCAAUGGCUAGUGGUGAGAACAUUUUCUGCUGUGCCAUUGGAGUGUGCACUAUACACGUACCCUACUCUUUUGUUGGCACCGCCUCUGUAACUUACUGCAUAGGGUGCAAGGUGACCGUUGUCGGUUUACAUGUACUCCAUUUAUUACGCCGUACAUGCACUGAGUCUGUGCUGUACUAUGCAUCCACAGGUGUCCGUUUGCGGUAGCGCAAGGCGACACGCAUGGGUAUUGUUUUGUCCGCUGCUAUUUGAAGCUCUCGAAGUCGGAAGCGUUACCUCUGUUUCCCCUGUUCCUCCCUGCGUGGAGUCUGUAGUUCUGGCUUGCAGUCGCUGUUACAUGCAUGUUGGCAGUUGCAUGUGUUUUGGUUUUCAGUUGUCUUUAUUUGUUUUGUGUGGACGACAGUUCAAUAUUCUAGCAGUUGUUACACUUCAUAUGUUCCGUAGUUAUCUGCUGUUGGUGUUUGAGAGAGCAAACUGUGUUCUUCUCCAGAGUGGAGUAAACCA